rnacentral:lncRNA from 1 species
UCAAACCCAAAAUAGUAAAGAUUUGGGCUUAAUUAAGCCCACUAGGUCAAUUUAAUUAUUCUUCUAAUUUAAACCUACUACAUCUAUUCCUCCCUAACCCUAGCUGCACUCAAGGGUUUCCAUUUCAUUUCUCUCUCGUCUCUCUCUAACCUGUCGCACCACGCCAUGAAAGGUCAAGAAUCUUCCAGCUCUUCAUCGUCGAUCCUUGGAUCUGUACCCUCCGAUUUCUUUCCCACCGGCCUUGUUGUCAAGGCGGAGCCAUUGUGUUCUCCGUUUCACGAGGGGUGCAAACCGCCGCUGCCUCCACCGACCCGCCGUCUACAAUGAUAAGGAGGACCUCAUCUCCGACACUCUAGCGUCAUUGAAGUCUGUCACCUCUCUGAGCGGCGUCGUGUUCCCCCACUCAUCGGUGCUUUUUUUUUUUUAGCAAAACCUUUCCCAACAUUGGUCUCCCUGUGUCCGCUGCCGUUGAUUGGCAACCGUUGACCAUCGAUUCACCGAUCUUGACUCUCGAUUCGCUGGGGCCAGAGGACGAUCUCACUGGCCUCGUUGUCGUCGACUCAUUGUCACCAUGGUCCGAUGGGGAUUUCGGCGAAAAUAGCGAGGAUUUGGAGUCGGAAGGGUGGACGACAUUCUUGGAGACGGAGGAGCAGCCAGUUCUAGAAAGGACACAUACAAGCGCCGACAUGAUGAAGAUCUUGCUUUCCUUGAUCUUUACUUUGGUGAGAAGUUUCCUUUUACACUAUAUUUGUUGGCUUUAGAGCAUCUCCAAUGGUUCACUCUACAUUAGAGUGAACUUUACUCUAUUGUAGAGUGAAAUGUAGAGUAAUUUAGUUUUGCUCUUCAACAAUCAACUCUAUAUUUCACUCUACAAUGAAAUAUUCUAUUUUGAUACUUUCAAUUAUUAUUAAAUUAAUAUUUUUAUAUAGUUAUUAUAUAUAUUAUAUAUAUAUAUUAAAUUAUAUUUAUAUGUAUUCUAUUUAUAUUAUUAUAAUAUAAUAAUAUAAUAUAAAUAUUUUUUUAUUUUUCUACUAUGAACUAUAUUUAAAUUAUUGCACAUUAAUUUAUUUCAACAACAUAAAAAAUAACAUUACAUAAUACUUGUAAAAAACAUAAAUUACAUGAUAAGAGCAACACUAAUAUUACAUAAUACUUGCAAAAAUUUAAAUUACUUAACAAUGGAAAUUAACGUUCUAAAUUUGAAUAUUCCCCCCACAAAUGAUCGACCAAUGCAUCACGAAGUGCAAGAUGAGCCGAUUUAUCUUUGAUGCUUCGAUAACGUGCAAGAAAAUCUUGAAACUCACUUGCUUCAUUUGGCACUGUUUCGACGUCUGGAGUUGGGACUUCUCUCAUCUCUUGAAUUGGUGCAGACAAGUCUCUUUCAUCCUCAAUUAUCAUAUUGUGCAUGAUAAUGCAGGAUUUCAUGAUAAGCUCCAAAUGCUUCUUUUGCCAAAAAUGGGCCGAAUUUGCAACAAUUGCAAAUCGACUUUGAAGAACUUCAAAUGCACGUUCCACAUAUUUUCUACACGACUCUUGUCUCGCAGCAUUUUU